rnacentral:rRNA from 1 species
AUGGCGACACCGGGCAAAUCUAACCUUAUGUGGAACACUGGAGAGCUUGCUGAUCGGCUUGUACCAUGUUUUGCUAUUAAGCUUAUGAAGCAAGGUGAUAGGCAACUCAGAAGGAUGGCUGGGCGUGACUUUGUCGAGUGUCGGGCAAAAAGGCCUUCAUGCAGCACGUGGCAUCAGCCAGCACCCAUGUACCUGCCAUCGACGUCAUACACAGCGUAUUACGCUGGUGGUGACACGGCAAACGUCCCGUGGCAAGCUUCACAAAUUGCAGGUGGAGCACGACAUUUUGGUGUCACGGACCACACAAGAUGGCCAAAUGCAGCACAACAAGAACCUACAACUACAGUGAACAGCGGUGCGGGGACAUCUACUGCGGGGAGCUCUGAGCGCACGGAAGACGCGUUCCACCAGCCAGCAGACUGUCAUGCCGCAAACAAUUUCGAGUCAGAGUCGGGAAUGGCAAUCAUUCCAGCAAUGCCGACGAGCACCCCUUUGAACACAAGCACUAGCAACACUCGAGUAGAUGGAACUGCCGCCGAUACUGAAGCGAAUGAUGAAACUGACGACGACGCACAAGAGGAUGAAGAUGGUGGGCAAUCCAAGAUCGUGGUACCUCAGCCACCAUACAUUGGGCAGAGAUUUGGAUCGUUCGCAGAAGCAAAGGAAUACUACCAGGCAUACGCAAAGUUCCAUGGAUUUGCGGUCAACACCGAGUACCAUAGGAAAAUUAAGAAAACUAAUGAGUACAGCAGAGGUGAGAUGAGGUGCCACAAGGCACGGAGGAACAAGAAGGGGAAAGGUGUUGCGCCUGUCGUUCCGGAACGAAAGAGAGGCAUCAUUCUCAAGACGGGAUGCCCUGUCCGGUGUAAGCUAAACGUAGAUGGAGCAAUAUGGGUGGUCAAUGAGUAUUUUGACGAGCACAACCACGAACUCAUAAAGAAGUUCGACCUGGUGAAAUUUCUGACCGCCCACAGAGGGUUCACCCCCGUCGAAAGGAAAUUCGUAAAGCUGCUACAUGAUUGUAACGUCGGCCCAUCAAGAAUGGUACAGAUACUAUCUCUCAUCCACAGCAAAAAGGGGACUCUGAGUAGCAUGCCGUACAUACCAGCUGACGUCACAAACCUACAGGCCAAGUACCGUAGAGAGAGCAAGUUGGCAGACAUAGAGGCCACAAUAGCCUACUUCGAUGCGAAAGCAAAGGAAGAUCCAGAUUUCUUCUACAGGAUAAGGUUGGACGAUGAGGACCGUGUCAGGAACAUGUAUUGGGUGGAUGGUGCUGCAAGGAGAGCCUACAAACAUUUCCGAGAUUGCAUUUCAUUCGACGCGACGUACCUCACCAAUAUGUACAAGAUGCCAUGCGCUCCGUUCAUAGGAAUAAGUAACCACAAUCAGUCGUUGCAGUUCGGAUGCGGCCUCGUCCGGAACGAAGACACAGAUGGGUACGUUUGGCUGUUCAAGACCUUCUUGGAGUGCAUGGAUGGACUUGCUCCGAUGAACAUAAUAACGGACCAAGAUUUCAGCAUGCGUGCAGGCAUAGAGGAGGUCUUUCCGUUGGCAGUGCACAGGCACUGCAGGUGGCACAUUAUAAAGAAGGCUGAGGAGACGCUAGGACCGUUCUUUGCCAACCGUCCAGAGCUGCACAAGGCAUUCGAGCUGUGCGUGGACCACAGCUUGACGGUGGAGGAGUUUGAAAGGAGCUGGAUGGCCAUGACUGAAACACAUCAAGUCCAGGACAACGAGACUCUUGUUAGCCUGUGGGAGAAGCGAAUGUACUGGGUGCCGGCCUACUUCAUGCAGUGCUUCUUCCCCUUUCUGCAGACUACGCAGCGCAGCGAGGGGUUCAAUGCUGUUUUAAAGCGGUACGUCAGCCCUGGCAACUCAUUGCUACAGUUUGCCAAGCAGUACACAGCUUUGCAACAAAAAAUUCUGGGAUCUGAGCUACAGCAAGAAGCAACCACAGCCCUAAAGCAGCCAAAAUUGCUAACGUAUUUAUCGAUGGAGAGGCAGAGCAAGAUAUACACCAACAAGAUCUUUAACAAAUUCCAGGAAGAAAUAAAGUGUGCCAGCAUGUUCACGGCUUUCCGGGUGGACGAACAUACGUUCAAGGUGUGUUCUAUUUUGGGCAUGUCAGAUUCAGAACCUGAAGACGCGGACAAAGGAAGGAACUACUUCGUCAGAGCCUCGAUAGGCGAAGGCGAGUACUACUGCCAAUGCUGCAAAUUCGAACGGGACGGCAUUGUGUGCUGUCACAUACUAAAAGUCAUGGACAUGAAUGCUGUGACACGCAUGCCCCGCCAUUUCAUAAGGAGGCGAUGGACUUGGGACGCUGACGACGCGUUGGCGCCGCAGACAACACACGCAGUUCUGGCUGUGCAUGACGAGAGACCUGAGUCAACCAUGGAAGCCGUGAGGCACAUUGUGCUGACAAAGAACUAUGCUGAGCUAAUUGAUGAAGCGUGCAAGAGUGAUGACACAGCGAGAGUCGCAGAAAAACACAGGAAGGCACUGAAAAGAGAGCUUGAUGAGAUCAAAAAAAGGAAAGCCGAGGAAGCCUUACACCGGUUCCCCCGCACAUCAAGUGUGCCUUCAUCCACGGGGCCAUCGUCUGAAAACUCGGAGAUAGGAUCUGCAACAGCAAACAAACAAACCCAGGUCAGGAACCCACCCCGUUCCAUCACAAAGGGUCGUCCGAGAGAGAUAAGGUACAAGUCGGGACUGGAGAUUCAAGCAAAACACAAGAAAACGAAGAAAGGGGCGGCCAAUCCAUGA